UCCAAUUUAUCUGAUAUUGAGAAUUGCUACCCCAGCUUUCUUUUGAGGUCAAUUUGCGUGAAAGAUGGUACUUUUUUUCAAAAAGUAUCAACAAUAUGCAGAAUUAUUUGGAUGUAGAAAAGAUAGGGUCAAUACAUGGCAAUAGAAAGUAGGGCCGUCCAUGAGUACUUGUUGCAAAUCAACAAGGGAGUGUAUGGGGCACCAACGGGGAAGUGGAGUCACUGGUGGAGAAUGAGUGGAGUUAGAGGAACUGGAGAAACCACAUCAAUAAGGAGCAGCUGGAGGAGAAUCAAACCUACCUGAAAAGAAGGUGCUCCAUGCUUAUCCUGUGGAAUUCCUGAUCUGGAGAUUAAGAUUUCUACAAAGAAGCCUGCGCAUCCUCCAGGAGAAUGGUAUUAGAGAGUAGUAUUUGGGACAGUGCAUCUCAUGGCUACGGGGCAUCUCUGCUUGUUCUCCCGCUCAGCUGAUGGACCGAGGAAUUCUAUAUGAGCCAACUGACCCUGGAACAUGCACAGAGCAGUGACUGUUUCCACAGGUGAUUAUCUGUCUCCAGCAAACGACACGCAAUUCCAAGCUGUCAGCUCCAGCUCUAACCCGUGACCACACGCUUCAUUCAAGCCUCUUUCCCUGGUUAUUUCUGUGAACUUCCAUUCCUAACGUGAGAAAUCUGGCUCCACCACCGCCAAACCAUUGACUUGAUUGUUUGAUUCCAGGAUGCAGUGCAGCCCCGUGAACAUAAUCCGCCCAUUCCCCACGGGACACGAGCUUACCUACUAGAGCACAGAGCUUACGUAUAGUCUCUUGUGACUUUACACUGACGGGCUCCGCUCAUUUUCACCAUCACUCAGCUCAGCAGUGUCCCCUGAGCCCUGCGCUGAGCUGAGCUCACACGUCUCUGCCGCAGGUAUGUUGGUUUGUCACAGUCCGCAUCCCAUACCAAGCCCCAAACCUCCCAAAUGAGUUGUACCUGCACACUUUGGGUUCUGUCGUGUGGCUGUACAGUGUUCAGUGACUCUAAAAGUGUCAUAGUGUCAUUUCAGUGCCGUGACAGCGUCGUAUAGAAUUAUUCUGUUGCUCAGAAACAUUUUCCUUUGUUCACAUGAUCAACUCUGUUGUCUCUUUUAUUCUCCUGGAAACUGUAGAUGUUUGCACUCUCUCCACAGUGCUUGCUGCUUCCCAUAUGUGAUGUAAGUUUAACCAUACUAUGUAUUCUGUCCCUUUUUAUAAAUGUGCUGCCUAUUUGCUGGCA